rnacentral:rRNA from 1 species
GACGAACGCUGGCGGCGUGGAUUAGGCAUGCAAGUCGAACGGUAUCAUCCUUUCGGGGGUGAGAGAGUGGCGAACUGGUGAGUAACACGUAGGUUAUCUACCCUCAAGACGGGGACAACCCAGGGAAACUUGGGCUAAUACCGGAUGUGAGCAACUUUUAGUUGUUUGAAGGGUGGCGUAAGCUGUCGCUUGGGGAUGAGCCUGCGUCCUAUUAGUUAGUUGGUGAGGUAACGGCUCACCUAGGCAAUGAUAGGUAGGCGGCCUUAACGGGUGGUCGCCCACACUGGGAUUGAGAUACGGCCCAGACUCCUACGGGAGGCAGCAGUCGAGAAUAGUCUACAAUGGUCGGAAGACUGAUAGUGCGACGCCGCGUGAACGAUGAAUCCCUUCGGGGUGUAAAGUUCUUUUAUAUGUGAGCAGUGCUUCUUAUAUUAACAGUAUGGGGAGAGAGAUAUUAGCAUAUGAAUAAGCAACGGCUAACUCCGUGCCAGCAGCCGCGGUAAUA